rnacentral:tRNA from 1 species
CUAGUUAACCUAUGUUGGGAUUUCAUUUACAUUGAAGGUGUUUCUGUUCAAUUCAGAAUAACUUGA